rnacentral:rRNA from 1 species
CACAUGCAAGUCGAGGGGCAGCAUAUUUAUAGCAAUAUAAAUGAUGGCGACCGGCGCACGGGUGAGUAACACGUAUCCAACCUCCCUUUUACUCGGGAAUAGCCUUUCGAAAGAAAGAUUAAUACCCGAUAGUAUAUGGUUUUCUCAUGAAGACUUUAUUAAAGAAUUUCGGUAAAAGAUGGGGAUGCGUUCCAUUAGGCAGUUGGCGGGGUAACGGCCCACCAAACCUACGAUGGAUAGGGGUUCUGAGAGGAAGGUCCCCCACAUUGGAACUGAGACACGGUCCAAACUCCUACGGGAGGCAGCAGUGAGGAAUAUUGGUCAAUGGGCGAGAGCCUGAACCAGCCAAGUAGCGUGAAGGAUGACUGCCCUAUGGGUUGUAAACUUCUUUUAUAAGGGAAUAAAGUGGAGUAUGUAUACUCCUUUGUAUGUACCUUACGAAUAAGGAUCGGCUAACUCCGUGCCAGCAGCCGCGGUAAUACGGAGGAUCCGAGCGUUAUCCGGAUUUAUUGGGUUUAAAGGGAGCGUAGGCGGAUGUUUAAGUCAGUUGUGAAAGUUUAAGGCUCAACCUUGAAAUUGCAGUUGAUACUGGAUAUCUUGAGUACAUUGAAUGUGGGCGGAAUUCGUGGUGUAGCGGUGAAAUGCUUAGA